rnacentral:misc_RNA from 1 species
GAUGAAGAACGUAGCGAAAUGCGAUAAGUAAUGUGAAUUGCAGAAUUCAGUGAAUCAUCGAAUCUUUGAACGCACAUUGCGCCCCCUGGUAUUCCGGGGGGCAUGCCUGUCCGAGCGUCAUUACAACCCUCAAGCUCAGCUUGGUGUUGGGCCCCGCCGCCCCGGCGGGCCCUAAAGUCAGUGGCGGUGCCGUCCGGCUCCGAGCGUAGUAAUUCUUCUCGCUCUGGAGGUCCGGUCGUGUGCUCGCCAGCAACCCCCAAUUUUUUUCAGGUUGACCUCGGAUCAGGUAGGGAUACCCGCUGAACUUAAGCAUAUCGAUAAGCGGAGGA